UACGGAGGAUCCGAGCGUUAUCCGGAUUUAUUGGGUUUAAAGGGAGCGUAGAUGGAUGUUUAAGUCAGUUGUGAAAGUUUGCGGCUCAACCGUAAAAUUGCAGUUGAUACUGGAUGUCUUGAGUGCAGUUGAGGCAGGCGGAAUUCGUGGUGUAGCGGUGAAAUGCUUAGAUAUCACGAAGAACUCCGAUUGCGAAGGCAGCCUGCUAAGCUGCAACUGACAUUGAGGCUCGAAAGUGUGGGUAU
rnacentral:rRNA from 1 species